UGACUCAUAGUACUUAAUCGGAUCGCAUGGGCUUGUCCCGCGACAAACCAUUCAAGUUUCUGCCCCAUCAUGCUUUCGAUGGUAGUGUAUUGGACUACCAUGGCUUUCACGGGUAACGGAGGAUUAGGGUUCGAUUCCGGAGAGGGAGCCUGAGAAACGGCUACCACUUCCACGGAAGGCAGCAGGCGCGUAAAUUACCCAAUCCUGACUCAGGGAGGUAGUGACAAGAAAUAAUGGGUCGGGGUUCUGCCCCGGGACCGCAAUGAGACGAAUUUAGACCCCUUAUCGAGGACCAAUUGGAGGGCAAGUCUGGUGCCAGCAGCCGCGGUAAUUCCAGCUCCAAUAGCGUAUAUUAAAGUUGUUGCAGCUAAAAAGCUCGUAGUUGGAUUUCUGGUAGUGGGCAAGAGCUCGUUGCACGUUGCUCGCGUUCAUUGCCAUCCUUCUGUUAACCUAUCAGGGCAUUCUAUUGUCAGUUAGGGGCUCAGAUAUUUUACCUUGAGAAAAUUAGAGUGUUUCAGGCAGGCUUGUGCCCGGAUACAUUAGCAUGGAAUAAUGGAAUAGGACUUUAGCCUCUUCUGUUGGUCUGAGGGGUUGAAGUAAUGAUUAAUAGGGAUAGUUGGGGGCAUUAGUACUUAACUGUCAGAGGUGAAAUUCUCGGAUUUGUUAAAGACUAACUUAUGCGAAAGCAUUUGCCAAGGAUGUUUUCAUUAAUCAAGAACGAAAGUUAGGGGAUCAAAGACGAUCAGAUACCGUCCUAGUCUUAACCAUAAACUAUGCCGACUCGGGAUCGGGGGCCAGAGUUAACUGCCUUCGGCACCGUAUGAGAAAUCAAAGUCUUUGGGUUCUGGGGGGAGUAUGGUCGCAAGGCUGAAACUUAAAGGAAUUGACGGAAGGGCACCACCAGGCGUGGAGCUUGCGGCUCAAUUUGACUCAACACGGGGAAACUUACCAGGUCCAGACAUAGUGAGGAUUGACAGAUUGAUAGCUCUUUCUUGAUUCUGUGGGUGGUGGUGCAUGGCCGUUCUUAGUUGGUGGAGUGAUUUGUCUGGUUAAUUCCGUUAACGAACGAGACCUUAGCCUACUAAAUAGUCGCAACAAUUACGAUUGGCUGCGUCUUCUUAGAGGGACUUUGCAAGCAACUGCAAGGAAGUUUGAGGCAAUAACAGGUCUGUGAUGCCCUUAGAUGUCCUGGGCCGCACGCGUGCUACACUGACGCAUACAGCGAGUAUCACCAGCUCCGUGAGGCUGCUGGUAAUCAGCAAUAUGCGUCGUGCUGGGGAUAGAUCUUUGGAAUUUUUGAUCUUGAACGAGGAAUGCCUAGUAAGCGCAGGUCAUCAGCCUGCGUUGAUUAAGUCCCUGCCCUUUGUACACACCGCCCGUCGCUCCUACCGAUUUCGAGUGGUCCGGUGAACCCUUUGGACCGAGAGCGCCUCGUGAGCUUUUGGAAAGUCGAGUAAACCAC
rnacentral:rRNA from 1 species